AGAAUGACUUUUGGACUUGUUAGACUGAUUUACCCAGACUGGGUGGCUUUCAUACAGCUUAGACAAGAUGCUUCUUUGCUUUCUUUUCAUCUUUUUUGUUUUUAAGGGCUCCGUCAAGUCCCAGUCAACCACAAUACGGACCUCUCAGAGCACAGAAACUACGACGACAGCAGCCUCCACUAUUAGAGAACAGCAACCUGGUGUUCAGCUGUUGGCCUCACCAGACUACCCAGUUCUAGCAGGUCAGAGAGUGCACCUGCAGUGCAAAUCUCUCAUCGUUUCAAGGGUCGAUGUCGAUUGGUCUUGGCAAAUCCUGAAAGGUCAGACAUGGAAAGAGGUCGACAGUGAUGAGGAACUCAUUCUUACAAAACCAGAACAAAGCGGCGUGUACCGCUGCAAGCCCAAGAGUGGAUCCAACUGGAGCCAAAACCAUACAGUUUCCAUUGUUGCCAGAAAUACAUCAAGUAGUGGGGGAGUCUCUAGGAAUUGCUGCCUUUAUCCUCUCUCUUCUGAUAUUAAUUAUCAUCAUUGCUGCUCUUCUGCUGGUGGUUUGCCAAAGAAUCAGAAGCCCCAAAACUCCCUCCAGUCCUGCAGUGAAAGUUGAUCCUGGACCCAAAGUUGUACCAAAAGGAGGGUGUCCUACAGAUGAAAGUGAUGGAGACGUGUACAUAAACUACACAGCAGGCAAAAACAGUGACUACACAGAUCUGGACCCUUCCAGUAUGUCUGCAGAUAAUGUGUAUUCAACUGCGUAACAAUUGCAGAGUUGACCAAAGGAGGAGAUAAAAGUGCAAGAGAAUGAAACCUUCGAUAAGUCUGCAUGUUUUUGUUUCAGUUUGAAUCACUUUUUGUAGAUUUAAUCUACGGUACUUUCACAUUUCAUUCUUGGAAUAAAUCAUUCAAACUCCCA